rnacentral:rRNA from 1 species
GAUGAACGCUGGCGGCGUGCCUAAUACAUGCAAGUCGAGCGAACAGACGAGAGUGCUUGCACUCUCUGACGUUAGCGGCGGACGGGUGAGUAACACGUGGGUAACCUACCUAUAAGACUGGGAUAACUUCGGGAAACCGGAGCUAAUACCGGAUAAUAUUUAGCUUCGCAUGAAGCAAUAGUGAAAGACGGUUCUGCUGUCACUUAUAGAUGGACCCGCGGUGUAUUAGCUAGUUGGUGAGGUAACGGCUCACCAAGGCAACGAUACAUAGCCGACCUGAGAGGGUGAUCGGCCACACUGGGACUGAGACACGGACCAGACUCCUACGGGAGGCAGCAGUAGGGAAUCUUCCGCAAUGGACGAAAGUCUGACGGAGCAAUGCCGCGUGAGUGAAGAAGGUUUUCGGAUCGUAAAACUCUGUUGUAAGGGAAGAACAAGUACGUUAGUAACUGAACGUACCUUGACGGUACCUUAACAGAAAGCCACGGCUAACUACGUG